AAUUCGACGCAACGCGAAGAACCUUACCUGGGCUCGAACGGCUGGUCAACGGAGGUGGAAACAUCUUUACCCCGCAAGGGGGUCCAGUCGAGGUGCUGCAUGGCUGUCGUCAGCUCGUGUCGUGAGAUGUUGGGUUAAGUCCCGCAACGAGCGCAACCCUUGUCCUGUGUUGCCAUGCCGAAAGGCGGAACUCGCAGGAGACCGCCAGCGAUAAGCUGGAGGAAGGUGGGGAUGACGUCAAGUCCUCAUGGCCUUUAUGUCCAGGGCUACACACGUGCUACAAUGGACGGUACAAAGCGUCCCAAACCCGCGAGGGGGAGGCAAUCGCAAAAAACCGUUCUCAGUUCGGAUUGCAGGCUGCAACUCGCCUGCAUGAAGCUGGAAUCGCUAGUAAUGGCAGAUCAGCACGCUGCCGUGAAUACGUUCCCGGGCCUUGU
rnacentral:rRNA from 1 species